UAGCUCAAGAUUAUUCCUCAUGCCAACGUGGCAGCAUCUCUGAACCUCCUCAAGAUUAGAGAAGGGGGCCGAGAUGGACGAGUCGGAUCGGGACACGACUCGGAGAAUCUCCUCAAACACAGACUCAUCACAAGGGAUCGUUAGCGGUCCGAUGUUCUUGAAACCGUACUCUUCCUCGGCUUGUACGAGGAGCAUCUUGAAGAUGGGGUGGUUCAGGUAAGUCGCACGCACGAUGAACCUCUUGCAACGGUCUCCUACGCAUACAGCCACGUGUCCUGACGGGACAUCGGACGGUGCAUGUGAAGCCGUGAGCCUCGCCUUCCUGCGCCAUCGCUUAAGCAUUUGUUGGAUUCUAACAAUGUGACGGAUUUUGUUGGACUUGUACAUUUUCCUGGAAGUGAAGGAAAGCGAGAGAAAAAAGCAAGAACAAUUUGAACGAGAGUGGG
rnacentral:misc_RNA from 1 species